CCUGCCCGGUGCUGGAAGGUUAAGGGGAUCUGUUAGAGCAAUCGAAGCAGUGAACUUAAGCCCCAGUAAACGGCGGCCGUAACUAUAACGGUCCUAAGGGAGCGAAAUUCCUUGUCGGGUAAGUUCCGACCCGCACGAAAGGCGUAACGAUUUGGGCACUGUCUCAACAACAGACUCGGUGAAAUUGUAAUUCCGGUGAAGAUGCCGGAUACCUGCGACAGGACGGAAAGACCCCAUGGAGCUUUACUGUAGCUUGA
rnacentral:rRNA from 1 species